rnacentral:lncRNA from 1 species
UACUGGUGGGCGACCUAGAACUUAAAUGUAUUCCCGCAUUAUACUGGUGGGCGACCUAGAACUUAAAAGUAUUCCCGCAUUAUACUGGUGGGCGACCUAGAACUUAAAUGUAUUCCCGCAUUAUACUGGUGGGCGACCUAGAACUUAAAAGUAUUCCCGCAUUAUACUGGUGGGCGACCUAGAACUUAAAUGUAUUCCUGCAUUAUACUGGUGGGCGACCUAGAACUUAAAUGUAUUCCCGCAUUAUACUGGUGGGCGACCUAGAACUUAAAUAUAUUCCCGCAUUAUACUGGUGGGCGACCUAGAACUUAAAAGUAUUCCCGCAUUAUACUGGUGGGCGACCUAGAACUUAAAUGUAUUCCCGCAUUAUACUGGUGGGCGACCUAGAACUUAAAUGUAUUCCCGCAUUAUACUGGUGGGCGACCUAGAACUUAAAUGUUUUGAAAUUGUUUCCCCGUUCUUCCGAGAAAUUUUUUGACAAUCGGCAGAAAAUUUUCUGCCCUGGUUUUUGGUGACUUCCCUGGCGUUGCAUCUCGCUGCCAUCAUCAAUCCUUUGUUUUCCUGCAGCAGACAAAAGGAUUUAAUUAGUUUUAAUCGUGGUGGUAGAGGGUGCCUUUCCGGCGGAUGAUUUUUCCUCUCUUCCCCUUUUCUUGCUCUAUGUCCCCAUAAUUGGUUAGUGGACAAAAUUGCCUGUUGGGGGUCUCUAGCUUGCUGGGGCUGGUUUUCAAAUUGUUCCCUUUUCUGCUUUAUCUUUA